rnacentral:rRNA from 1 species
UGGGGAAUAUUGGACAAUGGGCGAAAGCCUGAUCCAGCAAUGCCGCGUGAGUGAAGAAGGCCUUAGGGUUGUAAAGCUCUUUCGGCGGGGACGAUGAUGACGGUACCCGCAGAAGAAGCCCCGGCUAACUCCGUGCCAGCAGCCGCGGUAAUACGGAGGGGGCAAGCGUUGUUCGGAGUUACUGGGCGUAAAGGGCGCGUAGGCGGUGCGACAAGUCAGGCGUGAAAGCCCCGGGCUUAACCUGGGAAUUGCGCUUGAUACUGUCGCGCUAGAGAUCGGGAGAGGAUGGCGGAAUUCCCAGUGUAGAGGUGAAAUUCGUAGAUAUUGGGAAGAACACCGGUGGCGAAGGCGGCCAUCUGGACCGUAUCUGACGCUGAGGCGCGAAAGCGUGGGGAGCAAACAGGAUUAGAUACCCUGGUAGUCCACGCCGUAAACGAUGAGUGCUAGACGCUGGGGGCUUGGCUCUCGGUGUCGUCGCUAACGCAUUAAGCACUCCGCCG